AUGCCGCGUGUGCGAUGAAGGCCUUCGGGUUGUAAAGCACUUUUGGCGGGGAAGAAACGUCGCGGGUUAAUACCCCGCGGAACUGACGGUACCUGCAGAAUAAGCACCGGCUAACUACGUGCCAGCAGCCGCGGUAAUACGUAGGGUGCAAGCGUUAAUCGGAAUUACUGGGCGUAAAGCGUGCGCAGGCGGUUCGGAAAGAAAGAUGUGAAAUCCCAGAGCUUAACUUUGGAACUGCAUUUUUAACUACCGGGCUAGAGUGUGUCAGAGGGAGGUGGAAUUCCCUGUGUAGCAAUGAAAUGCGUAGAUAUGCGGAGGAACACCGAUGGCGAAGGCAGCCUCCUGGGAUAACACUGACGCUCAUGCACGAAAGCGUGGGGAGCAAACAGGAUUAGAUACCCUG
rnacentral:rRNA from 1 species